rnacentral:ncRNA from 1 species
UGAGAUAGAGGAUGCGCUGAGUCAUCAGUAAUGGAACCAAGUGCCGUGCAGGGCAGGGACCACGAAAGGGGCUGGCGCCGAAGUGAGGAAGGGCUGCAUCCCGACUGAUCUGGGCGGACGGAAUAAGAUCCGUACGACUGUCGCAGAUAUGCGGAGUGCUAUCCG